AGCCCUUGCUGUUUGCUGGUAAAAGUGUAUCUGUCUGGACUACUUCACUUCAGUAAGUGUGGACUGGGUCCCUGCCUUGUGGGGCUAGGCAGCAGGGAUUCAGGUCUCUUCCCCGCAAGGGUUGGCAGUGGUCCGGGUGCAUGCUUCAGUGAGCUGGUAACAAGAACACUUGAGGAUGUAGCCAGCAGAGUGACCCGUUCCUGCAAGCACUCUGGGUGUCUUACCCAGCGCUGGCCAGUGAAGGAAGCAAGCCGUCCUCCAUCACCGGCUGAGUUAUCUGAUGCUUCAUCUCCUGCCCCAGUCUUCUGAUACUUUACCCUUCCUCCUCUACAGGGAGCCGUCUGAAGCUAAAGGAAGAGAAAUUGCACUUAUAGGUACCCAGGUGUCAGUUACUGCCUCCCGCACACAGUCCUCACAGCCUCAGGGAUAGAAGGUUGAGUUCUCGAGGAGCUGGGGCAGGACACACUUGGACUGGUUCAGAGUCCUCUCUCUGCGCCUCCCCUGUGCAAACGCACGGCCACGUGACGCUGUGUCAACAUCGCUGAGCUCAUCUCCAUUUAGCUGAUUCCCCAGACACACAUUUCACAGGCACAGGGAAACCAGAGGAGCUCUUAUGUAAGAGGACCUGAGAGGGGAGGGAG
rnacentral:lncRNA from 1 species